CGGGGGGCAGCAGGCGCGAAAACUCCGCAAUACACGAAAGUGUGACGGGGGGACCCCAAGUGCAUUCACGCAAGUGAAUGCUUUUGUGAAGUGUAAAUAGCUUUGCGAAUAAGAGCUGGGUAAGACCGGUGCCAGCCGCCGCGGUAACACCGGCAGCUCGAGUGGUGAUCAUUAUUAUUGGGCCUAAAGCGUCCGUAGCCUGUUUGAUAAGUCCUUGGGUAAAUCCUGCCGCUUAACGGUAGGAAUUCUGAGGAUACUGUCAGACUUGAGGCCGAGAGAGGUCGGAGGUACUCCUGGGGUAGCGGUGAAAUGCUAUAAUCCUAGGGGGACCACCAGUGGCGAAAGCGUCCGACCAGAGCGGGCCUGACGGUAAGGGACGAAAGCCAGGGGAGCGAACGGGAUUAGAUACCCCGGUAGUC
rnacentral:rRNA from 1 species